GAAAACUUGGCUCUCUCCCUCCCUCCUUCCCACCAAGUGUCGUCAGGAGCAGAGGCCUUAUCCUUCAGAUAUGACUGGAAGUAUUCUUUGGCAAAGGCCCUGCUUGCAGAGAGAGAGAGGCUGGGGAUGGAGGCAAGAGAGGAACGACCCAAGGUGGAGAAAAGGCUCCCAGUAUUUUCCAGCUGCCAGCCCUUGCUCUGCUCCCAGCUCAGCCUCUUUCCCGUGUGACCGUCUGCAGACACAGUUUGAUCAGCUCUAACAUCCCAAAAGCUUCGUUUGCUCUGUCCCGGGAAAAUGAGCCAGUGGGAGGUCUGGAGUUAAGGAAGGAGGUGCACAAAGAUGAGAGAGAAAGGUCCAAGUUUUUUCACUGAGUGGAAGUUUUUGUGAAAUGGAGUCAGAAAUGCAGGAGUCACCUGAUUGAAGUGGAAAAUUUAGUAUAACUACCAGACUCAGAGUGAUGGUUUGGGUUUGAAGGAACCUUAAAGUCAUCUAGUUCAACCUCAAAGUAAUGUUCUCCAGCCACACUACGGGCC